rnacentral:rRNA from 1 species
UACGGAGGGUGCAAGCGUUAUCCGGAUUCACUGGGUUUAAAGGGAGCGUAGGAGGGCAGGUAAGUCAGUGGUGAAAUCUUCGAGCUUAACUCGGAAACUGCCGUUGAUACUCUCUGUCUUGAAUACCGUGGAGAUGAGCGGAAUAUGUCAUGUAGCGGUGAAAUGCUUAGAUAUGACAUAGAACACCAAUUGCGAAGGCAGCUCGUUACACGAAUAUUGACUCUGAGGCUCGAAAGCGUGGGGAUCAAACAGG